rnacentral:lncRNA from 10 species
CAGAUGCCUUCCAGCUGCUGGCUGGUCCCCAGGACCCCACUGCCACUGAGAGCUGACGAGUGGUCGAGUGCACGCAAGUAUGUGCAGCUUGGAGAGGUGCAGUGACGUGCCUGAGGUCUACGGCCCCAAAUGGCAGAUGAGGGGCUCAAUUCCAGGCUUGUCUGUGGGGUGCCCUCCCUGGACACAAGGACUGCCAACCCUGUGUGAAUGUGAGCCUCAUGAAGGAGACAGGUGAGAAGCCUGAGUGCUGGUGGCUGUAGGCUGCUAAACUGUAAAUACAGAUAAUGUCCAAA